GCUGGCAUAGCUCAACAGGCAGAGCAGCUGACUUGUAAUCAGCAGGUUGUUGGUUCAAUUCCGACUGCCAGCUCCA
rnacentral:tRNA from 1 species